rnacentral:rRNA from 1 species
CAUGCAAGUCGAACGGAAAGUGCUCUUCGGAGUGACUCGAGUGGCGAACGGGUGAGUAACACGUGGGUGAUCUGCCCUGCACUUUGGGAUAAGCCUGGGAAACUGGGUCUAAUACCGGAUAGGACCAUGGCCUUCAUGGGUUGUGGUGGAAAGCUUUUGCGGUGUGGGAUGGGCCCGCGGCCUAUCAGCUUGUUGGUGGGGUAAUGGCCUACCAAGGCGACGACGGGUAGCCGGCCUGAGAGGGUGUCCGGCCACACUGGGACUGAGAUACGGCCCAGACUCCUACGGGAGGCAGCAGUGGGGAAUAUUGCACAAUGGGCGCAAGCCUGAUGCAGCGACGCCGCGUGAGGGAUGACGGCCUUCGGGUUGUAAACCUCUUUCAGUAGGGACGAAGCGUAAGUGACGGUACCUAUAGAAGAAGCACCGGCCAACUACGUGCCAGCAGCCGCGGUAAUACGUAGGGUGCGAGCGUUGUCCGGAAUUACUGGGCGUAAAGAGCUCGUAGGUGGUUUGUCGCGUUGUUCGUGAAAACUCACA